GAUCCUGGCUCAGAGCGAACGUUUGCGGCGGGCUUAACACAUGCAAGUCGAACGAGAAUCCCUUCGGGGAGGAAAGUGGCGCACGGGUGCGUAACACGUGGAUGACCUACCCCUUGGUUCGGGACAACAGCGGGAAACUGCUGCUAAUACCGGAUGUGUCGUAGCAAUACGAGAAAAGGCCCCGCAAGGGUCGCCAGGGGACGGGUCCGCGUCCCAUCAGCUAGUUGGUGAGGUAAUGGCUCACCAAGGCGAAGACGGGUAGCUGGUCUGAGAGGAUGAUCAGCCACACUGGAACUGAGACACGGUCCAGACUCCUACGGGAGGCAGCAGUGGGGAAUAUUGCGCAAUGGGCGAAAGCCUGACGCAGCCACGCCGCGUGAGCGAUGAAGGUCUUCGGAUCGUAAAGCUCUGUGGGGGGAGAAGAAGAAAGUCGGUGAAGAGCCGGCCCUGACGGUAUCCCCUUAGCAAGCACCGGCUAACUCCGUGCCAGCAGCCGCGGUAAUACGGAGGUGCAAACGUUGCU
rnacentral:rRNA from 1 species